UACGAAGGGUGCUAGCGUUGUUCGGAAUUACUGGGCGUAAAGCGCGCGUAGGCGGCUUAGCAAGUCAGGGGUGAAAUCCCACAGCUCAACUGUGGAAUUGCCUUUGAAACUGCUAAGCUAGAGUGUCGGAGGGGAUAGCGGAAUUCCUAAUGUAGAGGUGAAAUUCGUAGAUAUUAGGAGGAACACCGGUGGCGAAGGCGGCUAUCUGGACGACAACUGACGCUGAGGCGCGAAAGCGUGGGGAUCAAACAGG
rnacentral:rRNA from 1 species